rnacentral:rRNA from 1 species
GAUGAACGCUAGCGGCAGGCUUAACACAUGCAAGUCGAGGGGCAGCGCGGGAUAGCAAUAUCCUGGCGGCGACCGGCGGACGGGUGCGUAACGCGUGAGCGACAUGCCCGUUGCCCGGGGACAACCGGUGGAAACGCCGACUAAUCCCCGAUGGGAUAUUGUGCCGCAUGGCACGAUAUUGAAAGUUACGGCGGCGACGGAUUGGCUCGCGUCCGAUUAGCUUGUUGGCGGGGUAACGGCCCACCAAGGCUGCGAUCGGUAGGGGUUCUGAGAGGAAGGCCCCCCACAAUGGGACUGAGACACGGCCCAUACUCCUACGGGAGGCAGCAGUGAGGAAUAUUGGUCAAUGGGCGGAAGCCUGAACCAGCCAUGCCGCGUGCGGGAAGGAGGCCCUAUGGGCUGUGAACCGCUUUUGCCUGGGGGCAAUAAGGGCGUCGCGCACGUCCGAUGAGGGUACCAGGCGAAUAAGCAUCGGCUAACUCCGUG